rnacentral:rRNA from 1 species
UACGUAGGGUGCGAGCGUUGUCCGGAAUUAUUGGGCCUAAAGAGCUUGUAGGCGGUUUGUCGCGUCUGCCGUGAAAAUUCGAGGCUCAACCUCGAACUUGCGGUGGGUACGGGCAGACUAGAGUGUGGUAGGGGAGACUGGAAUUCCUGGUGUAGCGGUGAAAUGCGCAGAUAUCAGGAGGAACACCGGCGGCGAAGGCGGUGCUCUGGGCCAGUAUUGACGCUGAGGAGCGAAAGCGUGGGUAGCAAACAGG